rnacentral:rRNA from 1 species
CGCCGUAUGCAGGGGGACAACAGUCAGAAAUGACUGCUAAUACCGCAUAAGCACACAAUGCUGCAUGGCAUGGUGUGAAAAGAUUUAUCGGCAUACGAUGGCCCCGCGUCUGAUUAGCCAGUUGGCAGGGUAAUGGCCUACCAAAGCAACGAUCAGUAGCCGGCUUGAGAGAGUGACCGGCCACAUUGGGACUGAGACACGGCCCAGACUCCUACGGGAGGCAGCAG